rnacentral:rRNA from 1 species
CCUACGGGAGGCAGCAGUGGGGAAUAUUGGACAAUGGGCGAAAGCCUGAUCCAGCAAUUCCGCGUGUGUGAAGAAGGCCUUCGGGUUGUAAAGCACUUUAGUGGGGGAAGAAACAGCUUGGCCACACCAAGCCUUGACGGUACCCCAAGAAUAAGCACCGGCUAACUCUGUGCCAGCAGCCGCGGUAAUACAGAGGGUGCAAGCGUUAAUCGGAUUUACUGGGCGUAAAGGGUGCGUAGGUGGCUAUUUAAGUCGGAUGUGAAAGCCCGGGGCUCAACCUCGGAAUUGCAUUCGAUACUGAGUGGCUAGAGUUCGGUAGAGGGCGGCGGAAUUUCCGGUGUAGCGGUGAAAUGCGUAGAUAUCGGAAGGAACAUCAAUGGCGAAGGCAGCCGCCUGGGCCUGGACUGACACUGAGGCACGAAAGCGUGGGUAGCAAACAGGAUUAGAUACCCUGGUAGUCCACGCCGUAAACGAUGAGAACUUGACGUUGGUUCGUUUUACGAAUCGGUGUCGCAGCUAACGCGAUAAGUUCUCCGCCUGGGGAGUACGGCCGCAAGGUUGAAACUCAAAUGAAUUGACGG